ACUACUAGCGAUUCCGACUUCAUGGAGUCGAGUUGCAGACUCCAAUCCGGACUACGACGCACUUUAUGAGGUCCGCUUGCUCUCGCGAGGUCGCUUCUCUUUGUAUGCGCCAUUGUAGCACGUGUGUAGCCCUACUCGUAAGGGCCAUGAUGACUUGACGUCAUCCCCACCUUCCUCCAGUUUAUCACUGGCAGUCUCCUUUGAGUUCCCGGCCUGACCGCUGGCAACAAAGGAUAAGGGUUGCGCUCGUUGCGGGACUUAACCCAACAUUUCACAACACGAGCUGACGACAGCCAUGCAGCACCUGUCUCAGAGUUCCCGAAGGCACCAAAGCAUCUCUGCUAAGUUCUCUGGAUGUCAAGAGUAGGUAAGGUUCUUCG
rnacentral:rRNA from 1 species